rnacentral:rRNA from 1 species
CAAUACGUCAGCGGCAGACGGGUGAGUAACGCGUGGGAACGUACCUUUUGGUUCGGAACAACACAGGGAAACUUGUGCUAAUACCGGAUAAGCCCUUACGGGGAAAGAUUUAUCGCCAAAAGAUCGGCCCGCGUCUGAUUAGCUAGUUGGUGUGGUAACGGCGCACCAAGGCGACGAUCAGUAGCUGGUCUGAGAGGAUGAUCAGCCACAUUGGGACUGAGACACGGCCCAA